AACAAGAGAAAUAGUCUAUCCAUACUGAUUCCUUCAGGCACAUUAAACCAUUGUCUUGAUCAGGAUAAAAGGAGUUAAUCUGAACUUUCUUGUGAGAUUUUCUAAUUAAAACAUGCAUAAUAUUAAUAUCAACAGUUGCUCUUCUCCGUCUUUGCCAUUACAGAAAGGAAAAGAAAAAAGAGUUAUAAUAAUAAUAAUUAAAAUAACCAAAUAAAGAACAUAAUAUACAACCUAUUAAAAGAAGAAUACACCACAGCACCAACCCAGCCAUAUUGCUCUUCUCACUAAUCUUCAUUGUCUUACACAAACAAAACCCUUCUAGAGCUGGAUAUGCAAGGCAAAACAAUCCGAAUCCAAGAACUCAACCUCUCUUCUGGCAAACCACCUACCCAUAAGAAGCAGACGCUUUUAAUCCUCAAGAGCCAAGUUUGCAGAAUGAUUAUACUUGGCCUCCCAGCAGACAAACAAACCGCGACCCUGCGAAAAACACUAACGCAUUUGACAUAUGCCCCGGAUUACCAAAUGGAACCUAUAUUUCAGGUGGAGCUAACCAACCAUCUGCGAAGAGUUCAUUUCCUUAGAUCUCUGAACAGCGAAAAAGCUCAAGCUUGAUUCAUCCCGAAUCCUAAUCUCCACAUCAAGUCCUGACUUUAUGCAUAAGAUUAUUGCUGUAGAUGUCAAAAAAACGAAGUUUCACUUCACCGUGGUGGAAGAGCCACGUUGCGAAGCCUUCUCUGCCACAUGAAUUUUUCUCGGC
rnacentral:misc_RNA from 1 species